rnacentral:rRNA from 1 species
CUGCUUCUACUUUCUGUAUGGAGCUGGGAGCGUCUGCCUGUUGGACGCCCGAAGAGCGUCAGGUUUGAUCCUUGGUAUGCAGAUGAACAUGACAAAUUACGGUGCCCCACGUGGGCUUACAAGUGGGAUAUCGUUUCCGAGAUGACGAACGAUGUCAAUCUCAUGUACCAAAAGUACAUUGCCGAGUUGGACACGAUUACGCCUGAGCAGGUAAGGAGGUCAUUACUUUAG